rnacentral:rRNA from 1 species
CGCGAAUCGCCCUUAGAGUUUGAUCCUGGCUCAGAUUGAACGCUGGCGGCAUGCUUUACACAUGCAAGUCGAACGGCAGCGGGGAGGAGCUUGCUUCUCUGCCGGCGAGUGGCGAACGGGUGAGUAAUACAUCGGAACGUGUCGAGAAGAGGGGGAUAACCACCCGAAAGGGUGGCUAAUACCGCAUAAAUUCUGAGGAAGAAAGCUGGGGACCUAGGAAUAGGCCUAGCGCUUUUUGAGCGGCCGAUGUCAGAUUAGCUAGUUGGUGAGGUAAAGGCUCACCAAGGCGAAGAUCUGUAGCGGGUCUGAGAGGAUGAUCCGCCACACUGGGACUGAGACACGGCCCAGACUCCUACGGAAGGCAGCAGUGGGGAAUUUUGGACAAUGGGGGCAACCCUGAUCCAGCCAUGCCGCGUGUACGAAGAAGGCCUUAGGGUUGUAAAGUACUUUUGUUAGGGAAGAAAAGUCAGCUGUGAAUAAUGGCUGAUACUGACGGUACCUAAAGAAUAAGCACCGGCUAACUACGUGCCAGCAGCCGCGGUAAUACGUAGGGUGCGAGCGUUAAUCGGAAUUAUUGGGCGUAAAGCGAGUGUAGACGGUUAUUUAAGCCAGAUGUGAAAUACCCGAGCCUAACUUGGGAGGUGCAUAUGGAACUGGGUAGCUAGAGUGUGUCAGAGGGAGGUAGAACUCCACGUGUAGCAGUGAAAUGCGUAGAGAUGUGGAAGAAUACCAAUGGCGAAGGCAGCCUCCUGGGAUAACACUGACGUCGAGGCUCGAAAGCGUGGGGAGC